AGAGUUUGAUCCUGGCUCAGGAUGAACGCUAGCUACAGGCUUAACACAUGCAAGUCGAGGGGCAGCAUGAACUUAGCUUGCUAAGUUUGAUGGCGACCGGCGCACGGGUGAGUAACACGUAUCCAACCUGCCGAUGACUCGGGGAUAGCCUUUCGAAAGAAAGAUUAAUACCCGAUGGCAUAGUUCUUCCGCAUGGUAGAACUAUUAAAGAACUUCGGUCAUCGAUGGGGAUGCGUUCCAUUAGGUUGUUGGCGGGGUAACGGCCACCAAGCCUUCGAUGGAUAGGGGUUCUGAGAGGAAGGUCCCCCACAUUGGAACUGAGACACGGUCCAAACUCCUACGGAGGCA
rnacentral:rRNA from 1 species